GAUGAACGCUGGCGGCGUGCUUAACACAUGCAAGUCGAACGGAAAGGCUCCUGCUUGCAGGGGUACUCGAGUGGCGAACGGGUGAGUAACACGUGGGUGAUCUGCUCUGCACUUCGGGAUAAGCCUGGGAAACUGGGUCUAAUACCGGAUAGGACGAUGGUUUGGAUGCCAUUGUGGAAAGUUUUUCGGUGUGGGAUGAGCUCGCGGCCUAUCAGCUUGUUGGUGGGGUAAUGGCCUACCAAGGCGUCGACGGGUAGCCGGCCUGAGAGGGUGUACGGCCACAUUGGGACUGAGAUACGGCCCAGACUCCUACGGGAGGCAGCAGUGGGGAAUAUUGCACAAUGGGCGCAAGCCUGAUGCAGCGACGCCGCGUGGGGGAUGACGGCCUUCGGGCUGUAAACUCCUUUCGCUAGGGACGAAGCGCAAGUGACGGUACCUGGAGAAGAAGCACCGGCUAACUACGU
rnacentral:rRNA from 1 species